rnacentral:miRNA from 1 species
GGUGUGUAUGUGUAUAUGUGUGUGUGUAUGUAUAUGUGUGUAUAUAUGUGUGUGUAUGUAUAUGUGUGUGUGUAUGUAUAU